CCGGGACCAGGACCAGGACCCAGACGGGAGGACAAGAGGGAGAAGGAGAGAGAGAGACCCAGGGAGAGACCACAUGAGAGGGAGAGAGAGCGAGAGCACAGCCCCUCCACUAUGGCUUACAACAGUGACGAGGAGCGGUACCGUGGUUACCGGGAGUACCAAGCGGAGCGUGGCUACAGCGGCGGUGACCGCGGAGGAGGAGACCAGGAGAACCAGGACACCAUGGAGUGAUGAAGAGAACACCCUCCUCUCCCUCUGUCCCUCUUCAUCUCUCUCUCUCUGUCUACGUGGGAGGAGACCAGGAGAACCAGGACACCAUGGAGUGAUGAAGAGAACACCCUCCUCUCCCUCUGUCCCUCUUCAUCUCUCUCUCUCUCUGUCUACGUGGGAGGAGACCAGGAGAACCAGGACACCAUGGAGUGAUGAAGAGAACACCCUCCUCUCCCUCUGUCCCUCUUCAU
ensembl:lncRNA